rnacentral:lncRNA from 1 species
GACCGUAGAUUUAACCAACGUGUAUUACUUUGAAAUCAAUUCACAAUACAUUCUUUUUUUUUUUUUGACAGGGUUAUCAAGACACUGUCCAGUCACUUGUUUAUUAUUAUGUGGAAAAGAAGCAUAACUAUUUAAGAAAUUAAGGAGAAGCAUUUAUUAUCAAGACAGUGUUAUUCGGAAAGAUUGUUUUGAGAGAUGGUUUUGAUAGAUUUUGGUUCUUGGAUCAGGUGAUUUUAUGGUCAAAUUUCAUCCAACGGCUAAAAG